rnacentral:rRNA from 1 species
GUUGGGUAGGGGAGCGUUCUGUAAGCCUGUGAAGGUGGCCUGUGAGGGUUGCUGGAGGUAUCAGAAGUGCGAAUGCUGACAUAAGUAACGAUAAAGCGGGUGAAAAGCCCGCUCGCCGGAAGACCAAGGGUUCCUGUCCAACGUUAAUCGGGGCAGGGUGAGUCGACCCCUAAGGCGAGGCCGAAAGGCGUAGUCGAUGGGAAACGGGUUAAUAUUCCCGUACUUGGUGUUACUGCGAAGGGGGGACGGAGAAGGCUAUGUUGGCCGGGCGACGGUUGUCCCGGUUUAAGCGUGUAGGUGUGUGUUCCAGGUAAAUCCGGUUCACUUUAACACUGAGGCGUGACGACGAGGCACUACGGUGCUGAAGCAACAAAUGCCCUGCUUCCAGGAAAAGCCUCUAAGCAUCAGGUAACAUCAAAUCGUACCCCAAACCGACACAGGUGGUCAGGUAGAGAAUACCAAGGCGCUUGAGAGAACUCGGGUGAAGGAACUAGGCAAAAUGGUGCCGUAACUUCGGGAGAAGGCACGCUGAUAUGUAGGUGAAGCGGUUUACCCGUGGAGCUGAAAUCAGUCGAAGAUACCAGCUGGCUGCAACUGUUUAUUAAAAACACAGCACUGUGCAAACACGAAAGUGGACGUAUACGGUGUGACGCCUGCCCGGUGCCGGAAGGUUAAUUGAUGGGGUCAGCGCAAGCGAAGCUCCUGAUCGAAGCCCCGGUAAACGGCGGCCGUAACUAUAACGGUCCUAAGGUAGCGAAAUUCCUUGUCGGGUAAGUUCCGACCUGCACGAAUGGCGUAAUGAUGGCCAGGCUGUCUCCACCCGAGACUCAGUGAAAUUGAACUCGCUGUGAAGAUGCAGUGUACCCGCGGCAAGACGGAAAGACCCCGUGAACCUUUACUAUAGCUUGACACUGAACAUUGAGCCUUGAUGUGUAGGAUAGGUGGGAGGCUUUGAAGCGUGGACGCCAGUCUGCGUGGAGCCGACCUUGAAAUACCACCCUUUAAUGUUUGAUGUUCUAACGUGGACCCGUAAUCCGGGUUGCGGACAGUGUCUGGUGGGUAGUUUGACUGGGGCGGUCUCCUCCUAAAGAGUAACGGAGGAGCACGAAGGUUGGCUAAUCCUGGUCGGACAUCAGGAGGUUAGUGCAAUGGCAUAAGCCAGCUUGACUGCGAGCGUGACGGCGCGAGCAGGUGCGAAAGCAGGUCAUAGUGAUCCGGUGGUUCUGAAUGGAAGGGCCAUCGCUCAACGGAUAAAAGGUACUCCGGGGAUAACAGGCUGAUACCGCCCAAGAGUUCAUAUCGACGGCGGUGUUUGGCACCUCGAUGUCGGCUCAUCACAUCCUGGGGCUGAAGUAGGUCCCAAGGGUAUGGCUGUUCGCCAUUUAAAGUGGUACGCGAGCUGGGUUUAGAACGUCGUGAGACAGUUCGGUCCCUAUCUGCCGUGGGCGCUGGAGAACUGAGGGGGGCUGCUCCUAGUACGAGAGGACCGGAGUGGACGCAUCACUGGUGUUCGGGUUGUCAUGCCAAUGGCACUGCCCGGUAGCUAAAUGCGGAAGAGAUAAGUGCUGAAAGCAUCUAAGCACGAAACUUGCCCCGAGAUGAGUUCUCCCUGAGACUUAGAGUCUCCUGAAGGAACGUUGAAGACGACGACGUUGAUAGGCCGGGUGUGUAAGCGCAGCGAUGCGUUGAGCUAACCGGUACUAAUGAACCGUGAGGCUUAACCUUACAACGCCGAAG